GCGCCUGUAGCUCAGCUGGAUAGAGCAACAGCCUCCGACGCUGUGUGCCGUGGGUUCGAAUCCCGUUAGGCGCGCCA
rnacentral:tRNA from 1 species